AUAUCAAUAAGCGGAGGAAAAGAAACCAACAGGGAUUGCCUCAGUAACGGCGAGUGAAGCGGCAACAGCUCAAAUUUGAAAUCUGGCUUCUUUCAGGGCCCGAGUUGUAAUUUGUAGAGGAUGCCUUCGGGUGUGGCCCCGGCCUAAGUUCCUUGGAACAGGACGUCACAGAGGGUGAGAAUCCCGUAUGUGGCUGGAGGUCUAUACCCAUGUGAAGCUCCUUCGACGAGUCGAGUUGUUUGGGAAUGCAGCUCAAAAUGGGUGGUAAGUUUCAUCUAAAGCUAAAUACUGGCGGGAGACCGAUAGCGCACAAGUAGAGUGAUCGAAAGAUGAAAAGCACUUUGGAAAGAGAGUUAAACAGUAC
rnacentral:rRNA from 1 species